GCAUUGACAGGUGGAUUCUUAACCACUGUGCCACCAGGGAAGUCCCAGGGAAAUAACUUUAAAUUGUGGUUCUUUUUGGUAACCACAAAAAAGAUGAGCUAUACAAGAUAUUUACACUAAAUCAUUGUAUUUUUGCAAGUUUAAUACCCGACGUUUUUAGAUUGGCAAUUUGGAGCUAAUAUAAAAGAGACUGUUAGACCUGAAAAGGCCACUGGCCAUGAACUAAUUCAAAUCCAGUUUGUUACAGAUGAGAAAAAUGAGGCCAGGUAAAGGAGUGACUCUCUUUAAGUCUUUAAGCUAUGCAGCAGUAGCUGAUAGACAAUAUGCCAGAACUCAGGAACAGGGAAUAGAUGUAAUUUCAAACGCAGGUCUGAUAUUAUCAAGCACAAAUUACAAAAUUGUAACCUUCAAUUUCCACAUAAGAUAGGCAUUUUCUAUGAAGCACAUCUUAUAAUACAUAAUCCACUGAUUUAAACAAGAAAAAAAAUACACAGUGACUAAGAAAGGGGAAGAAAUCUAAACUCAGCUGGUUUUCUUCACUGAAUACAGCAAACCAAAAACUUGUUUAAUUUAUUCAGAAGCUAAAAUAAUCCUCUCCAUGAAAAAUAUCAAAAUUAAAUUCUGGUCUAAUCCAAAUGAUUAUUAUCACAAUCUCACCAUCUGGAAACCCACGUUCUCUAAAAAAAAAUUUAUCAUGAAAUUGAGAGUUCUGUAGAAAACACAGUAGUUACUUUCUUAGUCUGAAAGUUGAGAUCAACAGCAUAACAUUUCAUAACAUUCUGAUGAAGAAAUAUUCCUCAGUCUUAAAAUAAGUGAACUCGUGGCAUGAGUUAAAAUAUGCCAGAUUUUAUGACUGAUCCCUACAAGAAGUUGGCUGUUUUCUCUUCCUCAUGAAAGCUUUCUUGAGUAGGACAGAGAACUCCUGAAGGAGGCGGAAAGUAUAUCCUACCUUAAGAAGGGUCUGUGCCUCAGUUAUGGGGAGCUGGACGCAUGGGAGGAUGGAGCCAGAGGAAGGGCAGCCUUUGCUUGGCACCACGUCCAAAGCCGGGUGUGUAAACCACAUGAAGACUUCAAGCGUAAACUCAGAUGAUGAUCAAGGGCAAUAUUCCAUACGAGAACCUAAGUGCCAAAAGGCAACUGGAGGAAAUGGGUAGAGUCUCGAGGUGGUGAAUUAUUUCCUUUUCCUCACAGAUCCAGUGGCAGCUGGAGAUUUGGAUCCGGUGCUUUGCAAGAGGAAGUCAGCUUGAACUCAGAAGGGUGUUUGGGCUCUAAUCAAGCAGCACUGGGACCAGAGUCAAACUCAUCUCAAUCAGGACAAGAGGAGGCUUCCCUUGGGGAAAAUAGGGUAGUGCUCAAGGAGAAUGACAGCUUGGAGAUAGAGCUAUAACCUAAGAGAUUGGUUUUUCCCUCUGUGCUGAGCCUGGAGAGCAUAGCAUCUGAAAUCUGGCCUUCAUUCUACAAUAAACGGGGAACUGAGUGGGAAGGGGACUUGCCCAGGGACACAAUGAUCGACUAUCAGAUUGGGACAAGCAUUCCACUCUCCAGUAUUCAUGGCGCCAGACUUCACCUACUGUGAGCUCCUCUAGAACAGAAGCUGAUUCUCCAUUUUGGCUGCGUAUUAGAACCACCUGGGGACUUUUUAAAAUCCCAGUGCCCCAGCUGCACCGCGUACCAAGUGAAUCAGAAUCUCUGGGGGUGGGACCCAGGCGUUACUACUUCUCGUAGCUACUCAGCAGACAAGUUUGAGAACUCAUGUUCUAGAGGACAAUGUUGAGUUCGGUAUUCAUGUAAAUAAUAAUGGCUCAGUGGAUGGAGCACUUUCUCUGUUGAGGCUAUCGCGUCAAGCGCUCUCCUGCUUUAUUCCACCCAGGUCCUUGCUGCAGCCUUCUCAAGUAAGUUCUGCUGUUACUCCCACCUUACAGCAGAGCAACCUGAUUCCUAAACAAGAGAGACACCUUGCUCAAAGCCAAGUAGUUCUCAAGGGGCAAGUCCAAACUGCAACCCGGAGCUCUUACGGACUAGGCUACACUACCUCUCUAACCUGACAGGCAGCCCUUCUUUGGCUGAGAGAGGAGUCACCAAGGUUUGUCCAGUGACUAUUUCUUAAUCUCUACUCAUAACUCGACAAAAAAUUCAUUAUAGAUCAAGACAGCUGACCUUAAGGUGUGAAUCCACCAUCAGUCACGCAAGUAACCUGAACUUAUACAUGAUGCCAGAUGUGGGAUCCCGUAGAACACUGACUUUUGUGUAGCAGCCCAAAGGGCUAUUUUCAGAAAAAUAUGGGGCCAUAACACAUAGUUUUGCUUCAGGGUUGGUUCCACUUGAUUCUGUUGACUGACUAUCCACAUACUAAUAUUUCAUAGGACACGUCCAUCCAUGUCAUCCCAAUCUAACUUCUCACAGGAGUACGUGAUGUCCAGCCCAGCAUUUAUCUGUGGUCUCCUCCAAAGUAAAACAAAGAGGAUGGAAACAAUGUACAGUGAGAAACAGCUCUCUAUUAUAGUUAUUUUAGGAUUGAUUUUGAUAAACAGAAGUCCAAGGACAAGUUCUCAGAGGUCUUGAAAUUCCCUAGAACACUCCUUUAACAAUUUAAAAUACCAUAUUCUGAAUUAUUGGCACAAUUGCUUUAUUUCUAAAUCCUUUCUUAUAGUUCCAGUGUCCAAGUUUGCACUUAUAUUAUAAAUGAGUUGUCACCAAACAGGGCUACUUUAACUGUCCCAGGCUAAUGAGAAAAGAACAAAGGCAGAUUUAGUAGGCAAAUGAUGAACUCCUGCCACGUGAACUCUAAAUGACAUCACUGUGAACUGCGGGGAUGAAGGUUCUGAAGCAGUGCGAGAAGUGGUGAAAAAAACUGACUCCAGUCCGACAGACUGGGAAAGGCCUACGCAAAUUAAAGGAAUAGUCCACACUGUAGCCCUAAUGCAAGCGGCAUUUGAAUUACUUUUGCUUUUGUAAUUUGGUUUUAGCUUGUUAAUUUGUUCUGACUUCAAAGUAGUAUGAAUUAAAAGCAUAAGGAGUUUAGACCUAGUUUUGUGUGUCUGCAUAUUUAAACAACAUGAGGAUAAAACAGUCUAGUUCCAUAUUGCAGGGUCUGUGAAAACAUUUACCUUUAAAAGGGUCCACACACAAUGGAGUCUGAUUCUGACCAGCAUGAAAGCUUAGCUUUCAUGGGUCUGGGUGAGUUCCCCAGAGGUACCACGCACUGCCCGAAUCAGCUCGCCGUGGACCAAGGAUGGGAAAUACAUGUAACACUCUGCACAAUUUUAUUGGCAUUUAAGAGAUUUUGUUUUAAGCUGCUAAUCUAAUUUUUCUAUUCUCAGACUCAUGUUAAUGUUCCAGUUAAACAGAAAAUGAGAAAAUUUAAAAAAAAGAUGUUUUUAAUAAAUUGAAUUUCCACUUGGGCUUUAUUAAAAUCGCCGUGGAAAUUACCAUGGGAAAGUUUGUCUCAGAAAAUGAUGAUAUCAAUGAUCAUUUCUAUUCUUGUGAUAAGAAAGAGGCAAUAUUAGGUGUGGACAAAAUGUAGGCAAAAGAGUAGACAGUGCCACUCACUGGGGAACAGUCCCAGGGCAGGAAUGACCUUGCUCCCCUGUGAAUUCCUCGCACCCCAAACAGUCCUAACAUGUGAUGGGUAAGUGCUUGCUAGGUAAUUGCCAUGACUUGCUUGGCCUGUUGCCCUCCAGGACUCAUAGCUGGAAUGUUCCCACAGCCCUGCCCCUAUAUUUAGGAUCCAGUGAAGCAACCUCAAGACAGAAAUCCUGCAGCUCAGCAUCAAGUCAGCCUAGAGGCACAUCCCAUCCUCUGCUCCUGGUAACUUGUCUCCCUGAUUCUGAGCCUCUAGUUCACGAAAAGGGGCCCUGAACUGGUCUUUCUGUUUCUCUCGAGAUUGGCGUUCUUUCCCUGAAUUUAGCCCCCCGAGGUCCUCUGGGUGUCAGUCACCUGCCCGCCUCUACCUCUGCCCAUUCUGCUGCUAGAUGAUGCCAUCACUCAUGCAGGAGGUGGUAGAUACAGAGGUUGAGACUGGGCUGAGCAGACACAUGCGGGGGUGCCUUGUUCAAGAAGGGAGAUAACAGAUGUGCUGCUUUCUACCUGUCUGGACCUGGCCAAGUUAUUUACCAUCUAUGGCUACGAGUUUUCACCUGUAAAAUGAGCUUAAAAAUAAUUUAUAAGCCAGUUAUGAGGAACAAAUGAAUUAAUUUGUAUAAAGCAUUUGGAACAAUGCCUGACUCGUAGUAAGCACUCAGAAGUGAGGGCUGUACUUUUAGGUCUCACAUGCCCACACUCAUGCCAAAGAGCCCUGGUACUGAUAACCUACCAUCCUGGAUGCCUCUCCAGCCACUGAAUUCUGGUUUUCUGACCUACUUUCUUCUACUUCCUUGGUUAACUGCUACAUGCUUCCCUACCUGAGGGCCCCGUACCAUCAAGUGCAUCUUUAAAUAAUACCUAGCUACUAUUUCAUAGUCUUUAAGCCCUGCAGGGUCCUAGCUUGGCCUUAACCUCCCCCUGAACAAACUUCAUUUUGACACCUGUUCAGGUAUAGGCACUAGGGCUUUCCAACAAGAGAAUGCAUCCUUACCUGGUGUAUAGGCCCAACCCACUGGGUCCUAAAUGCAUCUAUUCCCUUAUUGUCCUGUAAGCAAUCCCCUAGGAGUAAGGACACAGUGACAGAUCUGCACAGACAGAUCACAGGUGAAGGUCUGGAGCAAAAGACAAGAGAAAGCUAAGAAAGUUGCCUAAAGACACUGUCAAAGGAGCAAUUCGCCUUUGUCAUUUUUCAGAGCUUUGUAUUUCACAAAGUACUAGAUUCUCUCGUUUUGUCCUCACAGAAACACAGUAAAAGAGCAGAAUAUUUGGAUGACUAACAUAGUGCUGGGUACAAUUUUACCAGAUAUGGACCCUCUAAAAGUAGCUGAUAUGCUCCCGAAAUGAGGUUCAAGUGUCGUAUUAAAAACUGGCUGUUGCUUUUUGCACUUUUGCUCAUACCUUUAGCCCAUGGUGCUCUUGCUGGUAACUUUAAUCGUCUAUAACCUUCUCCACUGAUGAUUCUUGACUGCUGAUUCAGUUCUUGCUUCUCUGACUCUUUCAAUUCAACAGCCUCCAUCUGGGAACAUUCUCAGACUGGACAUUGGCUUCCUUAGAUCCCCACUUCUACAACCCCUUUGACUUCUCAUAUCACAAAUGCCUCAACUUAAGAUCCUCCUCUUGCUCCCACAAUGUGAAUUUUGUUUACACCUGUGGUGGGUAGACCAAAGGUGAGCCCUGAAGAUCACCACACCCUAGCGGUCACGCCUUGUAUAAAAACUUCCCUGGAGUGUGGGAGGGACCUGUGAUUUGCUUCUAGCCAACAGAAUAUGGCGAAAGUGAAGGGAUUUUGCAGAUGUAAAAAAGACCUCAAAUGGGUUGAUUUUGAGUUAGCCAAAAGGGAGUAUAUCCUGGGGUGGCCUGACUUUGGUGAAAGCCCUUACAAGAAGGACUGGGUCCUCCUUAGUGAGAGCUUAUCUUUCCUGCCUUGAAGAAGCCCACAUGGCAAGGAGCUGUGGGUGGCCUCUAAGCUCUAAGAUGGCUGCCUUCAGCCAGCACAAAGCUGGGGCCCUCACUCACAGAGCCACAGGGAAUUAAUUCUGCCAACAACCUAAAGGAACUUGGAAAAGUAUUCUUCUCCAGUUUAGCAUUCAGAUGAGAACACAGCCCACACCUUGAUUGAAGCCAUGUGAGAACCUGAGCCAAGGAUUCAGCUAAGUCCUGCCUGAUCUCCCAACCCACAAUAAAGGCCACAGUCACAGCAGCUGAUCAACAACACCACAGUUGUUUAGAAAAACUAUAAAAUUAUACCAAGUUGAAACAACCAGGGUGAUAAGCCUUAGGGGGGACAACAUAAAAAAAAAAAAACAACCCAAAGCAAAUGUAGAAUGGCCAGUUCAAUAAAAUCAUACUAAAUUUAACUUGAGGUUUGGCACAUUUACUAUUUUGAGUUAGUCCCCAAAUUCCUUCUCAAAAUGCAUGACUAUGUGCAGUCUUAUUAAAGAAACAAGCUAGAGCAUCCCUGCACGGACAAGCAGACAGAAUGUAAACCAGUGGGCAUGUGAGAAUCCAAUAGGAUGCAUAAGAGUACAAAGGAUAAAUGGGCACCAUCCCAUGGUGGUGAUCAGGAGAGCCAGGCAGCACUAUACUCCUAAGUGGAGUCAAGAAAUGGAUGCUUGUAGAAAGGCAGAGACAAUGGGGAACUAUCACUGAAAAGCCCUCUUUGCCUCUGCACACACUGAAAAACACAGAUCACAAUAUCUACAGAGGAAACUGCAGAGUUCCUUUCUAUUCUUUUGCGAAGAUCUCUCAUACCAUAGAAAAGGGGACUGAAAGUAAGCAAAUGUAUGGUACUUUAAUAAAUACGGUACGUUA